rnacentral:piRNA from 1 species
UAAGAACUGCAUGUAUGUUAU